rnacentral:rRNA from 1 species
UACGGAGGGUGCGAGCGUUGUCCGGAAUCAUUGGGCGUAAAGGGCGCGUAGGCGGCCACCGCAAGUCGACUGUGAAAUCUCCGGGCUUAACCCGGAAAGGUCAGCCGAUACUGCGGGGCUAGAGUGCAGAAGGGGCAACUGGAAUUCUCGGUGUAGCGGUGAAAUGCGUAGAUAUCGAGAGGAACACCUGCGGCGAAGGCGGGUUGCUGGGCUGACACUGACGCUGAGGCGCGAAAGCAUGGGGAGCGAACAGG